rnacentral:ncRNA from 1 species
AUUGAAUAUAAAAAAACAGGUGCCGGUUAUGAUUUUGAUGGACAAAAUUAUAAACCGGUGAAAAGGGAAGUGGGUAGAAAUCCCACGCGGUCCCGCCGCUGUGAAAGAAGAGUCCUUGCUAAAUGCCACUGGGAAACCGGGAAGGCUGCAAGGGUGAUGAUGCUUAAGCCAGAAGACCUGCCUGUUUUAUUCACCAUUU